GCAGUCCGCCUGCUUCUCGCUCCAUCCUCCCUCUCCAACCGAGCGGCACGAGGUAGACCCGGAGACCCCAACUCCGUCCUAGCCCAGCGGCGCCCGUGAGGCGUCAUCUCCGGCGCCCUCUCCAUCUCCGUAUGCUUCGCACUUUGUAGGCAAUUCAAACUCGCGUUGGUGGCAAGGCUGGAUGGCCCUUCCAGUUGAUGGUUGACAACUUCAUUGUCAUUUUAGCAGAUUCCUGUUGGAGUUCUUACGGGAUGUGGUUGAAGCAUACAACAUCGAGGCAAUUAUGACCUUUCUGUUCUUGAAAGAUGGCGAGAAGGUUGACAACAUCUUCAGCGGCACUUGUUGUAGCAGUUAACUUUGUAUAUAUUCAGUUUAGAGCUGAGAGUUUCAGAUAUUGCCACCUCAGAUGUUCUGAAAUUUCUUGCGUUCUACAGUCACGUGUGUGAAGUUCGAAUUUGAUCGUGUUAUAAAAAACAUUGUAUGCCACUUAUUAUUCUCC